rnacentral:rRNA from 1 species
AUUGAACGCUGGCGGCAUGCUUUACACAUGCAAGUCGAACGGCAGCGCGGGCUUCGGCCUGGCGGCGCGUGGCGAACGGGUGAGUAAUACAUCGGAACGUGCCCAGUAGUGGGGGAUAGCUCGGCGAAAGCCGGAUUAAUACCGCAUACGACCUGAGGGUGAAAGCGGGGGAUCUUCGGACCUCGCGCUAUUGGAGCGGCCGAUGGCAGAUUAGCUAGUUGGUGGGGUAAAGGCCUACCAAGGCGACGAUCUGUAGCUGGUCUGAGAGGCCGACCAGCCACACUGGGACUGAGACACGGCCCAGACUCCUACGGGAGGCAGCAGUGGGGAAUUUUGGACAAUGGGCGAAAGCCUGAUCCAGCAAUGCCGCGUGUGUGAUGAAGGCCUUCGGGUUGUAAAGCACUUUUGGCGGGAACGAAAAGGACUGUGCCAAUACCACGGUUCGAUGACGGUACCCGCAGAAUAAGCACCGGCUAACUACGUG